rnacentral:tRNA from 1 species
GUCUCUGUGGCGCAAAAUGGUCAGCGCGUUAGACUGUUAAUCUGAAGGUUGGUGGUUCGAGCCCACCCAGGGACG